UGCUCCCCACGUGCUGGGUGUUAUAUGCAUUGUGUCCUUUAGUUCUAUACAAGAGGUCGUAACAUCGUCCCUGUUUUCCAGAUGAGGAGACUGAGGUUCCGAGAGGCGAACAACUUGCUCACAAGUGGCAGGCCUGGGGCUCCCACCUCCCUCCAUUUGGUGCCAAAACUCAUGUUCUGAACGUGAUUGUGGGCGAGUGCCUUCUCCUCUUCAGGCCUCAGUUUCCCUUUUGUAAAAUGGGUGCGUGGCUCUUCUCCGGAUCAGGAGCCUCCUGGAUUCAUCAUCGGCAGCUUGGACUGAUCAGAGCGGAAGGUCGUUUGGAAGGUAACUCCGUUCCUUUGCAAGUCUUUUCCCCAUAAACCCCUGUUUCAAAGACUCUGGGGACAACAAGGAACAAGAGAGGCGGGCCUUGGGGAAAGGGGUCCUGGACAAACUCCAGCUCUGCUGCUCACCUGCAGUGAGAACGGGCAACGGCUCUGGGACCAUGGGAAAUUCUCCUUAAAUGGCUCCCCGUUCACUAGGGACAAGCCCGGCCCCCUCCCCCAGCCUAAUUCUGAAGUGUGCGGAUUAAACAACUGGGGGAAACGCAGGGCGUGCUGGCUCUCGGUGGAGCCUCCCUCUCCCCCGCCUUGUCGGAAUUCCUGCACACUCUAUGGAAUUCCUACAUAAAGCCCCUUUUUCUUUUCUAUGAGGUCACCACCACGCAGAUGUCUAAGAGAAAGAAAGAAUGGCUCCACGCGGAUCAAGGCCGCUGGAGCUGAAUGUAUUUCAGAUCCCGGCUGCACGGCCUUUCAAUUCCGUUGGCCCCUCGCUCGCCCCCCAGACAGAGCCCAGCUACAGAGGCCAGUCGGGCUUGGGGUGCGGUGAUCCUGCUGGUUGGAGGCCAAGAAGGCCUGGCUAAGAGACCGGGCCUUUGCCACCAGACCACCGGAGAAGCCGUCUGUGGAAAAAUCCAGAACUGGAGACAACGGCAGAGGCUGUGGAUGUGGGUCUGUUUCCACACAGGCAAGUCUUGUUAGAGGGAAAGAUGUCAAAAUGUUAGACCACACUCCAAGUUCAAGUUCCCAAACUGAACGUCACAGGAAAUGACACCACCAACGGAUCUGCCCCAAUGUCAGCUCCCGUCUGAAGUCGAGUCUGAGGAGGCCGUUGGGCUCAGUUUUGGCCAAAGGUUUUGUUUGCUAAGAGAAGAUGUCCAAAGUUCAGUCGCUAAGCUGCUGCGUUGGGAACAGGCGCUUCCAGCCGGCUCUGCAUCCCUUUCAAUGAAAUUCUUCUUCCAUUAACGCCACGGGUUUUUAAAUGCGCCUCUGAGGUCGCCUGCGCAGACACCGAACUCCUAAGACGACAUUUUCCCCUCGGAAAGGCAAGCUGAAUUCUGACCAUUCAGAGAACCAGGGAGCUCCAGACUUUCUAAAGUUUGCCCGAAAGCAAUGAAGGCUUUCGACUGUAGAGAUUUUCAACAUCCACAAAGUCCCCCAAAAAACCUGUCUGUCAAACCUGGAAGGACAGACCUUGGAAGACACUGUCCCAAGUCUCCUGUGAUCAAUCGAUUAUUGUCUUGGGGCUCUCACUUCAAGCCCAGGCUGGAUACAAAUAAAUCAGAUGAGUAUCUA